GAUGAAGAACGCAGCGAAAUGCGAUAAGUAAUGUGGAUUGCAGAAUUCAGUGAAUCAUCGAAUCUUUGAACGCACAUUGCGCCCGCCAGUAUUCUGGCGGGCAUGCCUGUUCGAGCGUCAUUUCAACCAUCAAGCCCUGCUUGCGUUGGGGUCCUGCGGCUGCCCGCAGGCCCUGAAAACCAGUGGCGGGCUCGCUAGUCACACCGAGCGCAGUAAUACAUCUCGCUUUGGGCGUGCGGCGGGUUCUUGCCGUUAAACACCCCCUUUUUACCAAGGUUGACCUCGGAUCAGGUAGGAAUACCCGCUGAACUUAAGCAUAUCAAUAAGCGGAGGA
rnacentral:misc_RNA from 1 species